UACGAAGGGGGCGAGCGUUGUUCGGAUUUACUGGGCGUAAAGGGCGCGUAGGCGGCCUUCUAAGUCGAACGUGAAAUCCCCGGGCUCAACCCGGGAACUGCGUCCGAUACUGGAAGGCUUGAAUCCGGGAGAGGGAUGCGGGAAUUCCGAGGUGUAGCGGUGAAAUGCGUAGAUAUCUGGAGGAACACCGGUGGCGAAGGCGGCGAUCCUGGAGCCAACACUGACGCUGAUGAGCGAAAGCCAGGG
rnacentral:rRNA from 1 species